GAUGAACGCUGGCGGCGUGCUUAACACAUGCAAGUCGAACGGAAAGGCCCUGCUUUUGUGGGGUUCUCGAGUGGCGAACGGGUGAGUAACACGUGAGUAACCUGCCCUUGACUUUGGGAUAACUUCAGGAAACUGGGGCUAAUACCGGAUAGGAGCUCCUGCUGCAUGGUGGGGGUUGGAAAGUUUCGGCGGUUGGGGAUGGACUCGCGGCUUAUCAGCUUGUUGGUGGGGUAGUGGCUUACCAAGGCUUUGACGGGUAGCCGGCCUGAGAGGGUGACCGGCAACAGUGGGACUGAGAUACGGACCAGAAUCCUACGGGAGGCAGCAGUGGGGAAUAUUGCACAAUGGGCGGAAGCCGGAUGCAGAAACGCCGCGUGCGGGAUGACGGCCGUCGGGUUGUAAACAGAUUUCGCAUGUGACGAAGCGUGAGUGACGGUAAUGGGUAAAGAAGCACCGGCUAACUACGUG
rnacentral:rRNA from 1 species